CUUCAGUGAACAUUCAACGCUGUCGGUGAGUUUGGAAUCGAGAGCAAACCAUCGACCGUUGACUGUACCUUGAGG
rfam:Anolis carolinensis unplaced genomic scaffold chrTn0746, whole genome shotgun sequence.